rnacentral:misc_RNA from 1 species
GAUGAAGAACGUAGCAAAAUGUGAUAAGUAAUGUGAAUUGCAGAAUUCAGUGAAUCAUCGAAUCUUUGAACGCACAUUGCGCCCGCCAGUAUUCUGGCGGGCAUGCCUGUUCGAGCGUCAUUUCAACCCUCAAGCACAGCUUGGUGUUGGGACUCGCGUUAAUUCGCGUUCCUCAAAUUGAUUGGCGGUCACGUCGAGCUUCCAUAGCGUAGUAGUAAAACCCUCGUUACUGGUAAUCGUCGCGGCCACGCCGUUAAACCCCAACUUCUGAAUGUUGACCUCGGAUCAGGUAGGAAUACCCGCUGAACUUAAGCAUAUCAAUAAGCGGAGGA